UGUGUGUGUGUGUGUGUGUGUGCGUGUGCGUGUGUGUGUGUGCACAUUCAGAACACACACUUCAGACAGCAGUAAUCACAAAGUCUCGAGAUAAAAGCUGUAGUCUAAAGUUUUAUAUUCUGGAACCCAAAUCUGAACCGGAUCCAAAAUGUUCUGCAGGAGAACCAAGCAAGCAAUCACAAGCAGCAAGGACCAUCGACCAUGUGUGUGUGACAGGACCAUCGGCCAUGUGUGUGUGACAGGACCAUCGGCCAUUUGUCCCCAGUGAACACUGGCUCAUACACACACAGCACAAUGAAGCUGUUCAACAGAGAAAAUUGUGGCCUGCCAGAAAAAGUGCCCAGCCAUCACGCACACACGCACGCACACACACACACACACACACACACACACACACACACACACACACACACACACACACACACACACACUCACGCUUGUUACGGGCUGGUCAAUAGUGACACCUAGUGGAUAUUUUGUGUAAUUUCAGUCUUGCAGCACUUAAUAUUUAAGAAUUACUGAUACACUUUGAGUUGUGUAUAAGUAUGUAAUAUGGCUGAGCCUUUCAGUUUUCAAUUUGUUGUAAUUGUCUGUAGAAGACAAAAUAUGAUCAGAAGGUCAUGAGUUAAAAUCCCUGCACCAGUGAUGCUGGACCCUUAAACAAGCCCCUUUGAGCCUCAACUGCUCACUUGUAUAAAUAAGAUUAUCAUAGGAUGCUCUGGAUAAGGCUAAAUGCUGAAGAUGUAAAUGUAUUUAUGUAUAAUCAGUUCUUUGUAAAUAAAUUAGUUGCUAUACUAAUCCAUAAACUUAUCUUACCCCACUGCAUUCUUGGUUCUGAUAAAUCAUUAGAUGUUUAUAAAUCCAUAUGAGUGUUUCAGUGUGGAAUAGUUUACUAUAAGAGUAUUCCUACAAAUGUACAGCUUCAUAUGUUUUUUAUGUUGUUGUUAAAUAUUUCAUUCAAAUGUGUGUAACUACAACUAACCAAAGUCUGUAUUGCUUAACCUAA